ACACUAUAAUAUAGCUACCACCGCGUAGUUUAGAUGUCGUUAUCUAGUCCUGUUCCUGUCUCUAUUGUCUUAAUCAGCGCGAGUCUAUGAGAUAGAGAGAGAUAUAUUGCCGUAUUGGUUUGUCCACUCCAGUACUCCAACUUUGAUUGCUUGAUGCUUCUUCCUCUUGCGUGCAUUCUGUUAGCCGCCAAAGCAAGGGCCUUCGGUGCAGCUUACUUCGUCAACGCCGACCUCAUCCGUCUCCGAAGCACACCGCUACCAUCUCGCAGUCCCCAGGGCGUAGAAAUCUUGGUUGGGGUCAGGUCACCUUCAGCUCCUAAUUAAAAGCAGGGUUCACAAUUUCGGCAAAAUUUCACCAGUAACUUGCCGAUCGACGAUUUCUCUAAAAGCAUGGUUGCCCCGCGGCCACCUACGACGUCCACUAUCAACAGCAGCUGCACCAGCUCAGCGACCUCCUACGUAACCUACCUCACGCCAACAACGUCUGCCACUCAAGCCUAUGAAACGCCAAGCAGAGCUCUCCUCGAGGAGCACACCCGCGUGGCCAUGGAGAUUUCUUGCGGCAUCCGGGUUCCCACCUCUGCCACCAUUGACCUGGGCGUGCUCGCCUCGCCCAACCAGGGCCUGGUCUUCAGGGAGCUAAUCAAGAUAAGCAUGACCACAUGAGUAUUACCACUUUGUGCAUGCAGCAGGCCGGCAUUGACACACUUUUCAGAUCAUGGACUGAUUUAGCCAACCAGGAGUUCAAGCUGCUGACGAGUAUCACCAAAACCAGUGUUGCGCCGCACCCGGAUAAUCUCUUCGUGUUACUUAGCAUGUUGAAUCCACUCACUGACCUGUUCAGCCUCGCCAAGGAGAAGUUUCUGCCUGUCAUGAAGGUGCUGUCUUUAGAGGAUCAUGCUGAUACCUUAGCCACAGGGUUUGACCGUGCACUGCUGGCGCUGGGAAGCACAGUAAAGAGCACAAUUGAGAUGGUCCAAGCAUGGAUCUCUGGCGAGUAAAAUGCACCAGCGGUACAUAAAUUUCAUAACCGGUGUCAUCCAGAUCCCCGAACUCCCAAAAUGCACAUUGGAGUUCCUGAAUCCAGAUCCCCGAACUCCCAAAAUGCACAUUGGAGUUCCUGAACUUACUAAUCGAUUCGCCGUACAUGUAGAUUAUAGAGAUUUGGACUUCAGAUGAAUCGAUUAGCAAGUUUAGGGACUCAAACGUGCAUUUUGAUAGCUCGGGGACCUAGGUGACACAUGCUACCACUGAGAUUUUGAUAGCUUGUGUACCGCAGGUGCAUUUUACUCAUCUCUGGCUAUGCUACCACUGAGAUCCACCACAGUGGCGGUGUCCACGAGAUAACGAGAUACGUCAUGAUGUACAUCAAGUUGCUAUCCGAGCAUAGUGCCCUGCUGACCAUCGUCCUCAACGUCACUCAUGGCACAGGGGACAUCGCAUCUACAACGGAGGCCCCUGAACGCAUUAUGGCCGAUCUCAUGUCUCGUCUGGAAAGUACACUUGAGAAGCAAUCAUACUACCACAUUACUGCGAUGAGAUGGUUAUUCUUAGUAAACAACAUGCAUUUCAUAAUACAGCAACCGGAGACCUUGGAUGUGCUUGAAGAUGACAGUUGGGUGCCUAGGGACAGUAUAGAGUUUUACAUCUACAUGUACCUUGAUGUUUCAUGGACGCCCGUCCAAUUUUGCUUGCAGUACAGAAUCAAGAUGAUCCCAGCAUGCUUCAAACCACCUGCAACAAGAAGAUUCAACACCUUGUUUGAGAAAACUUACCGGGCUCAGAGCUCCUGGAAAGUUGAAGAUCCCCUGCUUCGGAAGCACAUGCGACAGGCGGUAAUAGGAAAGCUCAUCCCCGCCUACCGUUCAUUCCUGGAGAAGCAGGAAAACAAACCUGCACAGCUUAUUGAGCAUACACCUGAAGAACUUGAGGAAACGCUGUCCGAACUAUUUGAAGGAUGAUGAGUGAGCUGACAAUAGCAAGAAGUGGACAGGUGCCAAAUGUUUGUCUAAUUAUGAUAUUGUCGAAUUGGUUAUGUUGGUAUGUAAAUCUAGCUACUUGCAUUGAUGCAGCAUCCAGGGGACUCUUCCUACCGUGCAAUUAAACAAACUAGAUCUUUUCUUUUGCCCUCGAACAUGUAAGAGCUGCAUGUUAUUAUAGUAAGAAAGAAGAAUUGACCAAACACAAGCCAAAAGCGAUGGCAGAAAAGACAGAUAACGACAGCGCUCCCUCCACCUUGACCUCAUGGCCUGGUCCAUGAUCACCUGGAGAACUGCUCCUUUUUGGGGCUCUCGCCAUCAAAGAC